UACGUAGGCCGCGAGCGUUGUUCGGAGUUACUGGGCGUAAAGGGUGUGUAGGCGGUUCUUUAAGUUUGGUGUGAAAUCUCCCGGCUCAACCGGGAGGGUGCGCCGAAUACUGAGGGACUAGAGUACGGGAGAGGAAAGUGGAAUUCCUGGUGUAGCGGUGAAAUGCGUAGAUAUCAGGAGGAACACCGGUGGUGUAGACGGCUUUCUGGACCGUAACUGACGCUGAGACACGAAAGCGUGGGUAGCAAACAGG
rnacentral:rRNA from 1 species